GUUCUUAUUCUCCUUGGACAUUAGAUCAUUAAGACAAAGAUCUCCUGGAAGAGUGAUGAAUGCCUCUAGGGGUUUGUCUCCCUCAAGAAAUGUUGAGCUACAAAGAAGGCCAGUAAACAGGACACCGGAUGAUGUGAGGAUGGGUUCAUACACAGGGAAAGCUGUUCUUGAUGCGCCAAAGCAUGUGAAUGCAGCAUCUUUUGUUACGAAAUCUACAUUGCCUGCCACUUCAGCUAAGCCUAUGCCCCCAGGGCCCCCAAUUCCAAGUACAAUUCCUCCAAGCAAUAUGUACAAAAAAGUUCAUACUUGGUUGAUGAACGACAAACUGUUGAAGGCUUGCUACAUUCGCUGGGGCUAGGGAAAUAUGCUAUUUAUUUCAAGGCUGAGGAAGUGGACAUGCCUGCAUUGAAACAGAUGAGGGAAAACGACCUUAAGAGCUGGGAAUACCUAUGGGACCUAGGAAAAAGAUUCUUCUUGCUCUCUUGCCUCGUUCCAAAAGGUAACAACGAGUCAACAUCCGUGAUUAUUAUUCUCAGAAUCCCAAGUAAAACCAGUGUAUCUCUCUGCUUUGGAGGUUGGAAAAAAUGACCCACGAAUCCAAUCAGUUCAGGUGACAAAGUUUCGAAACUCGAACACUGCCUACUAUGAUGAAUAAAAUUAUUGAGAUGAUUACUAGAAGCAAGGAUUCAUAUCUAACAUUUAUAUGUUUUAAUUACUAUUGUUAUCGAAAUUCAAAUUAAUUGCCUUCCCCUUCA